rnacentral:rRNA from 1 species
AAGUGUAGCAAUACAUUAGUACAGCGGCGCACGGGUGAGUAACACGUGGAUAACCUGCCUCGAAGUGGGGAAUAACACCGGGAAACCGGUGCUAAUACCGCAUACUCUGACGAGAUCUGUGGAUUUUGUCAGCAAAGGAGCAAUUCGCUUUGAGAGGGGUCCGCGGCUGAUUAGCUAGUUGGUGAGGUAAUGGCUCACCAAGGCCACGAUCAGUAGCCGGUCUGAGAGGACGGUCGGCCACACUGGAACUGAGACACGGUCCAGACUCCUACGGGAGGCAGCAGUGGGGAAUUUUUCGCAAUGGGGGCAACCCUGACGAAGCAACGCCGCGUGGGUGAUGAAGUAUUUCGGU